GGCCAUUACCAGAGAAUACAGAGUCUGAGCCAUUGUUGUUUACAUUUUUGGUGGUUAGGAUUCUCUCCGUACCUUUUUCGUGUUUUUGUGAAAAACCUGUUGUGUUUGUGGUCAAAACUGCAAAGAAAAGAAUGUGCCUGUAUACGGGGCUCCCACUCACACUCACCUGUAUAAUUUGUGCUUUCAAUACUUGCUCCUUCACGAAAUUACAACAAGUGUGGCAAGUAUGAGGACCUAAUAGCAUCUUAGACAAACACCAAUGAUUUAACUGCAAGUGCACAAGAAUUAUAGCAUAUAUAAGUAAACAAUUAAGCUGCAAGUUUUACUAGAACAAUCACAAGAAAUACCCCUUGAUAAUUACAAAUCCUUGUAAACCUCAUUCUGGGAAAGUUUUCAUUUGUCAUCACGCUUAGUAAAAAUAAACUGCUUUUCGGUUGGUCAAAAAUUACAGAAAUGAUUACCACAGAAAGUGGGGAAUUCCCAGAAUCAAUUAAGCUGCAACUGCAACAGGAAGAAUUUAAAUGAUAAAUCUGCAGGAUAUUUUUGGUGAAGGCAUUACUGGAAAUUUUUGAGAAUUACCAGGAAUUCUAGAGAACUAUUCAAAAUUUUGGAGUACUUUAUUUGUAGGUCACCUACCUCCUUAGAGAGUUUACCAAAAGAUGAAAUUGUAAGGAAAGAAUGCAUAACAUUCCUUGUCAAAAAUGGAGCUGCCAGGGAGGCUGAUAGCUUUAGAAGAGCAUCCAUAUCACUCCUUUAAGCUAUAGGAGAGGCGGUAAACACUUGAUAAAGUAGGCAGUGCAGUGUCUUUUAGAGCAGAUCUUGGGUCUUCAGUGGUAGUGAAAACAACAUUACAAAUUAUAGAGAACCCUGGCACAGAAUAACCAGCUGUCAUUAGUUUUUAAAAAGAACAGACACAGUGACAUAUUGUCAACAAGUAAAGUGCUUCUGAUUUAAAUUUUGUUUUUAAUUUACAGAUAAUGAAAUUUUUGCUUUGGUUAUUCUACUAAUAAUUAACAAUAGUUUAAUGUAUUAUAAAUGAAAUUUAUUUUUAUUGCUUAGAUCUUCUUUUUUGUAAUUUUUAAAUCAAAUCAAAUAAUAUAAAAGUUCCUUGAAAAGAGUAACACUGAAGCAUCUUAUGUCGGACGCCAUUGUGCAAAUAAAAAAUAAAUUUUAUUAUGCUAUUAAAAAAUGCAGCAUACAUUUUUAUUUAAUUUCUUAUUGUGUUCAUAAGCAACAAUGUACUUUAUUCUUUUCAAUAAAGGCCUUAUUAAGUAA